rnacentral:rRNA from 1 species
UACGUAGGGGGCGAGCGUUGUCCGGAGUUACUGGGCGUAAAGGGCAUGCAGGCGGUCGUACGCGUUUUGUGUGACAGCGGGUGGCUUAACUACCCGAGGAUGCGAAAGACGGUAUGACUUGAGGGCUCGAGAGGGACACGGAAUUCCGGGUGGAGUGGUGAAAUGCGUAGAGAUCCGGAGGAACACCGAAGGCGAAGGCAGUGUCCUGGCGAGUGACUGACGCUGAGGUGCGAAAGCCAGGGGAGCGAACGGG